GAUGAACGCUGGCGGCGUGCCUAAUACAUGCAAGUCGAGCGAACAGACGAGGAGCUUGCUCCUCUGACGUUAGCGGCGGACGGGUGAGUAACACGUGGAGAACCUACCUAUAAGACUGGGAUAACUUCGGGAAACCGGAGCUAAUACCGGAUAAUAUAUUGAACCGCAUGGUUCAAUAGUGAAAGACGGUUUUGCUGUCGCUUAUAGAUGGAUCCGCGCCGCAUUAGCUAGUUGGUAAGGUAACGGCUUACCAAGGCAACGAUGCGUAGCCGACCUGAGAGGGUGAUCGGCCACACUGGAACUGAGACACGGUCCAGACUCCUACGGGAGGCAGCAGUAGGGAAUCUUCCGCAAUGGGCGAAAGCCUGACGGAGCAACGCCGCGUGAGUGAUGAAGGUCUUCGGAUCGUAAAACUCUGUUAUUAGGGAAGAACAAAUGUGUAAGUAACUAUGCACGUCUUGACGGUACCUAAUCAGAAAGCCACGGCUAACUACGUG
rnacentral:rRNA from 1 species